CGGGCAAUGCGUAGUACGGCGAGUGAGCGGCACAGCUCAAAUUUGAAAUCUGGCUCUUUUAGAGUCCGAGUUGUAAUUUGCAGAGGGCGCUUUGGCUUUGGCAGCGGUCCAAGUUCCUUGGAACAGGACGUCACAGAGGGUGAGAAUCCCGUACGUGGUCGCUGGCUAUUGCCGUGUAAAGCCCCUUCGACGAGUCGAGUUGUUUGGGAAUGCAGCUCUAAAUGGGAGGUACAUUUCUUCUAAAGCUAAAUAUUGGCCAGAGACCGAUAGCGCACAAGUAGAGUGAUCGAAAGAUGAAAAGCACUUUGGAAAGAGAGUCAAACAGCACGUGAAAUUGUUGAAAGGGAAGCGCUUGCAGCCAGACUUGCUUGCAGUUGCUCAUCCGGGCUUUUGCCCGGUGCACUCUUCUGCAGGCAGGCCAGCAUCAGUUUGGGCGGUAAGAUAAAGGUCUCUGUCACGUACCUCUCUUCGGGGAGGCCUUAUAGGGGAGACGACAUAUUACCAGCCUGGACUGAGGUCCGCGCAUCUGCUAGGAUGCUGGCGUAAUGGCUGUAAGCGGCCCGUCUUGAAACAACGGACCA
rnacentral:rRNA from 1 species